rnacentral:ncRNA from 12 species
GGCCUAAACUAUUGAUAUUUCAGUGGCAUGGUCGCAAAUCGAAGAGUACAAACAACCCGUUAUCAGGGCGUACUCUUCGUUGCAUAGGGAAACUUAUGUAGGAGCUUCGGCUCU